GACGAACGCUGGCGGCGUGCUUAACACAUGCAAGUCGAACGGAGUGGCGAACGGGUGAGUAACACGUGGGUGAUCUGCCUUGUACUUCGGGAUAAGCUUGGGAAACUGGGUCUAAUACCGGAUAGUGCAAGAUGAGCUCGCGGCCUUGCAGCUUGUUGGUGGGGUAAUGGCGUACCAAGGCGUCGACGGGUAGCCGGCCUGAGAGGGUGUACGGCCACAUUGGUACUGGGCUGCGGGCCAGACUGCGACGGGAGGCAGCAGUGGAGGAUAGUGCACCAUGGGCGGAGGCAUGAUGGAGCGACGCCGCGUGGGAGAUGAAGGCCUUCGGGUUGUAAACUCCUUUCGACAGGGACGCGGUACCUGAAUAAAAAGCACCGGCUAACUACGUGCCAGCAGCCGCGGUAAUAC
rnacentral:rRNA from 1 species